GGGUUGUGAGGUUAAGCGACUAAGCGUACACGGUGGAUGCCCUGGCAGUCAGAGGCGAUGAAGGACGUGCUAAUCUGCGAUAAGCGUCGGUAAGGUGAUAUGAACCGUUAUAACCGGCGAUUUCCGAAUGGGGAAACCCAGUGUGUUUCGACACACUAUCAUUAACUGAAUCCAUAGGUUAAUGAGGCGAACCGGGGGAACUGAAACAUCUAAGUACCCCGAGGAAAAGAAAUCAACCGAGAUUCCCCCAGUAGCGGCGAGCGAACGGGGAGCAGCCCAGAGCCUGAAUCAGUGUGUGUGUUAGUGGAAGCGUCUGGAAAGGCGCGCGAUACAGGGUGACAGCCCCGUACACAAAAAUGCACAUGCUGUGAGCUCGAUGAGUAGGGCGGGACACGUGGUAUCCUGUCUGAAUAUGGGGGGACCAUCCUCCAAGGCUAAAUACUCCUGACUGACCGAUAGUGAACCAGUACCGUGAGGGAAAGGCGAAAAGAACCCCGGCGAGGGGAGUGAAAAAGAACCUGAAACCGUGUACGUACAAGCAGUGGGAGCACGCUUAGGCGUGUGACUGCGUACCUUUUGUAUAAUGGGUCAGCGACUUAUAUUCUGUAGCAAGGUUAACCGAAUAGGGGAGCCGAAGGGAAACCGAGUCUUAACUGGGCGUUAAGUUGCAGGGUAUAGACCCGAAACCCGGUGAUCUAGCCAUGGGCAGGUUGAAGGUUGGGUAACACUAACUGGAGGACCGAACCGACUAAUGUUGAAAAAUUAGCGGAUGACUUGUGGCUGGGGGUGAAAGGCCAAUCAAACCGGGAGAUAGCUGGUUCUCCCCGAAAGCUAUUUAGGUAGCGCCUCGUGAAUUCAUCUCCGGGGGUAGAGCACUGUUUCGGCAAGGGGGUCAUCCCGACUUACCAACCCGAUGCAAACUGCGAAUACCGGAGAAUGUUAUCACGGGAGACACACGGCGGGUGCUAACGUCCGUCGUGAAGAGGGAAACAACCCAGACCGCCAGCUAAGGUCCCAAAGUCAUGGUUAAGUGGGAAACGAUGUGGGAAGGCCCAGACAGCCAGGAUGUUGGCUUAGAAGCAGCCAUCAUUUAAAGAAAGCGUAAUAGCUCACUGGUCGAGUCGGCCUGCGCGGAAGAUGUAACGGGGCUAAACCAUGCACCGAAGCUGCGGCAGCGACGCUUAUGCGUUGUUGGGUAGGGGAGCGUUCUGUAAGCCUGUGAAGGUGUGCUGUGAGGCAUGCUGGAGGUAUCAGAAGUGCGAAUGCUGACAUAAGUAACGAUAAAGCGGGUGAAAAGCCCGCUCGCCGGAAGACCAAGGGUUCCUGUCCAACGUUAAUCGGGGCAGGGUGAGUCGACCCCUAAGGCGAGGCCGAAAGGCGUAGUCGAUGGGAAACAGGUUAAUAUUCCUGUACUUGGUGUUACUGCGAAGGGGGGACGGAGAAGGCUAUGUUGGCCGGGCGACGGUUGUCCCGGUUUAAGCGUGUAGGCUGGUUUUCCAGGCAAAUCCGGAAAAUCAAGGCUGAGGCGUGAUGACGAGGCACUACGGUGCUGAAGCAACAAAUGCCCUGCUUCCAGGAAAAGCCUCUAAGCAUCAGGUAACAUCAAAUCGUACCCCAAACCGACACAGGUGGUCAGGUAGAGAAUACCAAGGCGCUUGAGAGAACUCGGGUGAAGGAACUAGGCAAAAUGGUGCCGUAACUUCGGGAGAAGGCACGCUGAUAUGUAGGUGAAGUCCCUCGCGGAUGGAGCUGAAAUCAGUCGAAGAUACCAGCUGGCUGCAACUGUUUAUUAAAAACACAGCACUGUGCAAACACGAAAGUGGACGUAUACGGUGUGACGCCUGCCCGGUGCCGGAAGGUUAAUUGAUGGGGUCAGCGCAAGCGAAGCUCUUGAUCGAAGCCCCGGUAAACGGCGGCCGUAACUAUAACGGUCCUAAGGUAGCGAAAUUCCUUGUCGGGUAAGUUCCGACCUGCACGAAUGGCGUAAUGAUGGCCAGGCUGUCUCCACCCGAGACUCAGUGAAAUUGAACUCGCUGUGAAGAUGCAGUGUACCCGCGGCAAGACGGAAAGACCCCGUGAACCUUUACUAUAGCUUGACACUGAACAUUGAGCCUUGAUGUGUAGGAUAGGUGGGAGGCUUUGAAGUGUGGACGCCAGUCUGCAUGGAGCCGACCUUGAAAUACCACCCUUUAAUGUUUGAUGUUCUAACGUUGACCCGUGAUCCGGGUUGCGGACAGUGUCUGGUGGGUAGUUUGACUGGGGCGGUCUCCUCCUAAAGAGUAACGGAGGAGCACGAAGGUUGGCUAAUCCUGGUCGGACAUCAGGAGGUUAGUGCAAUGGCAUAAGCCAGCUUGACUGCGAGCGUGACGGCGCGAGCAGGUGCGAAAGCAGGUCAUAGUGAUCCGGUGGUUCUGAAUGGAAGGGCCAUCGCUCAACGGAUAAAAGGUACUCCGGGGAUAACAGGCUGAUACCGCCCAAGAGUUCAUAUCGACGGCGGUGUUUGGCACCUCGAUGUCGGCUCAUCACAUCCUGGGGCUGAAGUAGGUCCCAAGGGUAUGGCUGUUCGCCAUUUAAAGUGGUACGCGAGCUGGGUUUAGAACGUCGUGAGACAGUUCGGUCCCUAUCUGCCGUGGGCGCUGGAGAACUGAGGGGGGCUGCUCCUAGUACGAGAGGACCGGAGUGGACGCAUCACUGGUGUUCGGGUUGUCAUGCCAAUGGCACUGCCCGGUAGCUAAAUGCGGAAGAGAUAAGUGCUGAAAGCAUCUAAGCACGAAACUUGCCCCGAGAUGAGUUCUCCCUGACUCCUUGAGAGUCCUGAAGGAACGUUGAAGACGACGACGUUGAUAGGCCGGGUGUGUAAGCGCAGCGAUGCGUUGAGCUAACCGGUACUAAUGAACCGUGAGGCUUAACCUUACAACGCCGAAGCUGUU
rnacentral:rRNA from 1 species